CACCAUAAUAAAUGUAGUUACCAUUGGUCACCAUAAAACAUUAUUAUAAUAUUACUGACUAUAUUCCUUAUGUUGUAGCAUUCUUUUCUUUGGCUUAUUUAU